rnacentral:tRNA from 1 species
GUCCCUGUAAUGCAAUGGUAGCGUGUUGGACUUCUAAUCCAAAGGUCGUGGGUUGGAAUCCCACCUGGAAUG